CCAUACCACCCUGAACACGCCCGAUCUCGUCUGAUCUCGGAAGCUAAGCAGGGUCGGGCCUGGUUAGUACUUGGAAGGGAGAC
rnacentral:rRNA from 1 species